rnacentral:piRNA from 2 species
UUAAUGUUGCCUUAUGCUGU